rnacentral:rRNA from 1 species
AGAGUUCGUAUUCUGUUUCUUAAUUGAUGGAGUAGCUAUCUCUCGGGGUGUCAAUUGGUUGUUAUAUCUCCACUAAUGAGCGGAGAGGGGUAAAACCUUCAAGUAAGUUAUGUGGGUCAAGGUAUAAUGAUUAAUUGGAGUUCUAGUUCAUUUACUUUGAGAAAAUUAGAGUGUUUAAAGCAGCCUCUUGGGGCACUGAAUACAUUAGCAUGGGAUAAUAAAAUAGGAUCUUCACAAUAUAUUUUAUUGGUUUAAAUUGCGUAUGAAGAUAAUGAUUAAUAGGGACAGUUGGGGGUAUUCAUAUUGGGUGGUUAGCGGUGAAAUGCUCGGAUCCAUUCAAGAUGAACUAAAGCGAAGGCAUUUACCAAGGAUGUUUUCAUUAAUCAAGAACGAAAAGUUAAGGGGAUCGAAGACGAUUAGAUACCGUCGUAGUCUUAACUAUAAACUAUGCCGACCAGGGAU